rnacentral:rRNA from 1 species
UACGUAGGGUGCAAGCGUUGUCCGGAAUUAUUGGGCGUAAAGAGCGUGUAGGCGGCCAGGUAGGUCUGCUGUGAAAACUCGAGGCUUAACCUCGAGAUGUCGGCGGAAACCAUCUGGCUAGAGUCCGGAAGAGGAGAAUGGAAUUCCCGGUGUAGCGGUGAAAUGCGCAGAUAUCGGGAAGAACACCCGUGGCGAAGGCGGUUCUCUGGGACGGUACUGACGCUGAGACGCGAAAGCGUGGGGAGCGAACAGG